rnacentral:tRNA from 1 species
GGCACUUUGGCCGAGUGGUCUAAGGCGCCGUGUUCAGGCUUAGAAUCCAGGUUCUGUCUCUUCGCGGUCUAGUAAUAGGCGAGGGUUCGAAUCCCUCAGGUGUCA